AAGAAGCCCUAAAUGGCUAAAUCUCUCUAUUCCUUCUUUAUCUCGUACUCCUGCUUGAAGCCUCAAAUCUUCGACAGCGUCGACAGCCAUCUUCAUUUUUCAAUUCCCCAAGCCGGUCAUCGGAUGUCCGGUGCUAAAAAACCCACAACCACAAGCCAGGUAUAUUAUUUCUCUAGUCAUUGACUCAUUGUUCUGCUCUUGUUUAUCUUCCAUGUUUACUUCCACGCCAGCACUACUUAAUGCAUUUCUAAUGCAGUCUUACUUCAAAGUUUUUGUAGAAAAAUUUCACAUAAUAUCUCUUCGGGAGCUUAAAAUUUAUCCACGGCCCUAAUUUCUAAAUGUUUGUCCAAUAAACUUUCGGUAAUUUGCUAGAAAAUUAACGGAUCUCAGUUGAUUGAUAAAAUAUCUGAGAGCUGGUUCAGUAUAUAAGAUUCAUCGAUGUUACUAGGAUUUUUACAUGGUUUUCUGAUUGCUGGUUGGAAAUGCAAUUUGACGAAAUUUUUAGGGUUGAAAAUUGAAACACAGAAAUUGGAGAAUAUGUUGGUAUAUUGAUACGUGUCUUGCAGUGGUUGAUUGUAACCUUUUGAAGAACAUUCUGCUAUUCCUUGGAAUCAAAUUUUGGCUGUGGCGCCGGUUAGCUUUAUCCCUUACAAUCAACUUUAGGCUUUAUUCACUAAUGUUUCCUUUUUGUGUUGGUAUUAAUGCAAGUGGAAAUAUAUGUUGUUGUUGUUUGAUAUUUGGAAAUUGGAGUCAGAAGAUAACUUGCAGUCGCAGACUGCACCAUCCUUAAGCAAAUGUAUUCAGGGUCUUCAUCUUCUGUUGUGAAUAUUAAAGACCUUGAAUUGACUAAAAUUCUCAAGGCUGCUUACAAUGCUAUUUUCCUUCUCUUGAUGUGUCUUAUUUUGAAUCCAAUUCAGCUAUUCUUCUUCUGCAGCCUCCAACAGUUUCUAACAACAGGUUUUAAUGUUUUUUGCACAACUUGAGGUUUGCCAACAGAUUUUUGCCUCAGUUUUGUAAAUUUGUAAUUAAAUAUGUAAUUGGUAUUGGAUAAUUAUUUUGAUGCAUAUUUGGUGGACUAUACUAUUGUAUAUUUGAAAUUUUUCUAAUAUUGGAAGACUAUAUUAAUGUUGCUUUAAA